rnacentral:rRNA from 1 species
AUGAAGGCUAGAGCCACCGAUGCAGAGAAGAACGUGCAAGAGCUGAAUGCUAAGGCGGAUAGACUUCAAAAGACAAGCGGCGAGCAAACCGUUAGGAUUCAAAAGACUAAAAGUGUUCUUAAAGCUGCAGAGGAGGAGCUGAUGAAGGUGCAGUUAGAAGCAACACCAAAAUCAGAGCAGCUCAGAGAGGGCAUAUUUCCUUCAAGUACAUCCAGCGACAAGCAAGGGACUUCGCCGGCAAGCUCUGGUCCCGACAAAGAUGGAUCUGCGCAGACGUGGGAAGAGAUGCAGAAGAAAAUGGUGCAGCGCCCAGUUUACUUUGUCAGUUCCCUUCUGUAG